rnacentral:rRNA from 1 species
UACGAAGGGGGCUAGCGUUGCUCGGAAUCACUGGGCGUAAAGGGUGCGUAGGCGGGUCUUUAAGUCAGGGGUGAAAUCCUGGAGCUCAACUCCAGAACUGCCUUUGAUACUGAAGAUCUUGAGUUCGGGAGAGGUGAGUGGAACUGCGAGUGUAGAGGUGAAAAUUCGUAGAUAUUCGCAAGAACACCAGUGGCGAAGGCGGCUCACUGGCCCGGUACUGACGCUGAGGUGCGAAAGCG